rnacentral:rRNA from 1 species
UACGUAGGGGGCAAGCGUUGUCCGGAUUUAUUGGGCGUAAAGAGCGUGUAGGCGGUUAUACAGGUCCGCUGUGAAAACUGGAGGCUUAACCUCCAGACGUCGGUGGAAACCGUAUAUCUAGAGUCCGGAAGAGGAGAGUGGAAUUCCUGGUGUAGCGGUGAAAUGCGCAGAUAUCAGGAAGAACACCCGUGGCGAAGGCGGCUCUCUGGGACGGUACUGACGCUGAGACGCGAAAGCGUGGGGAGCGAACAGG